UACAUUUUAGUAUAGUAGGUAUAAAAGUUUUUGAUACUUUUGGAAGUAGAUAAUUUCUGCUAAAUGUAA
rnacentral:tRNA from 1 species